CCAGCUGAGUGUGUAAUGAAGUUAAAAUAUCGCAUGUAAAUCAGAGGUGAUUUCCAGGCAUGUUUUCACUCUGCAGAUAUAAUAACAGUCAACACACUCUUCUAUUGGCUCCAGUCACACCAACAUUGAUGUUUGAUUGCAUGCAAACUCAGUGAGCUUCCUUGUUCCUCAGCUAUAAAAACUUCACAUCAGGCUGUCAGUGGAGUUCACAGCACGUCAGUUUCAACAUAAACCAUGUUUUCUGUAGCUCUGCUGCUGCUGUUGGCAGCUGGAUGUGUGAAGUGUGAACAGUUGACACAGUCAGCCUCUGUGACUGUGCAGCCAGGUCAACGUCUGACCAUCACCUGUCAGGUCUCUUAUUCUCUGAGCAGCUACUACACAGCUUGGAUCAGACAGCCUGCAGGGAAAGGACUGGAGUGGAUGAGUGCGGAUACAAACGUCAAAGAUUUUCUUAAAGAAAAGUUCAGUGUUAACUUGGACUCUUCCAGCAAAACAGUGACUCUAAAUGGACAGAAUAUGCAGCCUGAAGACUCUGCUGUGUAUUUCUGUGCCAGAGACUCACAGUAACACAAACCAUCAGUGGAGCUGAACAAAAACCCCUCAGUGCCUGAACACUUGGAACAUGAAGCCACCAGAGGAGGAGCCCUCAGACCACUAAUGAUUUCAGUUCGUUGUUUAAGAGUUCACUGUUAAAGAGACAGAUAAAGCAGGGGAACAGUAUAAAGGAAUAUAACAUUGAUUAUUAUCAUAUACAGUGUAAAUAAUAUUAAAUAUACAGUGGAGGAUUUUUUUAAAAAGUAUCUUUUCUGUUUGACCGCACAAUAAGAAGGUAAAUUGAUAACAACAGUAUUUCAGCUCACAAAUGUGCUUUGAAAAGUUCU